rnacentral:ncRNA from 1 species
AGGUUCAUUUCGCCGUGAUUAAAAAGGGAAGCCGGUGAGAGUCCGGAACUGUCCCGCAGCUGUAAGUUGCUUUUACCGCGCGUUGAUGACACUGUGGAAACAAAGCCCCAUGGGAAGUCGCAACGCUUUAUUGUGCAACGAGUCAGAAGACCUGCCAUUGCUUUA